GACGAACGCUGGCGGCGUGCUUAACACAUGCAAGUCGAACGAUGAAGAAGAGAAACGCGAACUUCGGUUCAAAUUUCACUUCGGAUUAGUGGCAGACGGGUGAGUAACGCGUGAGCAACCUACCUCUUACAAAGGGAUAGCCUCGGGAAACCGUGAUUAAUACCAUAUGACACAUUCAUAAGGCAUCUUAAGAAUGUUAAAGCUACGGCGGUAAGAGAUGGGCUCGCGUCCCAUUAGCUAGUUGGUGAGGUAACGGCCCACCAAGGCGACGAUGGGUAACCGGGCGGAGAGGGUGAACGGUCACAUUGGAACUGAGACACGGUCCAAACUCCUACGGGAGGCAGCAGUGGGGAAUAUUGCACGAUGGAGGGAACUCUGAUGCAGCGACGCCGCGUGAGCGAUGAAGGAAUUCGUUUCGUAAAGCUCUGUUCUAUGGGAAGAAAAGGACGGUACCAUAGGAGAAAGCCCCGGCUAAAUACGUG
rnacentral:rRNA from 1 species